GUGGGUGACUUUUUGGUUUUUGAAUAUUGAGUAGUCGUAGUCAUAGACAUUCAUUAAGUACACACAUCAUUUAUUGAUCACCUGAACAUGCUGUUGUGUUGUUGUUAACUCACUUAUUUGCGCAUAGUUUCACCUAUCUUUGUCCCAUCAUCAUAUUGUUGGAUUUGUUGUAGCACUUUAAAAGGCUCAUAACCUUUUUCUGGUUUUACUUGUAGUAUAAUGAAUUAUUCAAAAUCUACAAAGCAUUGGAGUGCGGUCGCAGUGUUUGCAAAGCGAUUUUACUGUGGUAAGCACUAUGUUGAAAUUCCGGUGGAUGCCCUCAGCGUCAAAACUGGGUUUGACCCACAAAUAUCUAGGCUCAACUACCAGCUGAAGAAUUUAGUUAGAAGCAAUCAGAUGGCUCAGGCCCAAGAACUUUAUGAACGCAUGCCUUCUAGAAAUACUUGCACAGUGAAUAUGAUGAUUUCAGGUUAUGUGAAUUCUGGUAAUCUUUCUCGUGCUAGUGAGAUGUUUGAUAGUAUGGAUGAACGUACAGAAGUGUCAUGGACAAUAAUGAUUGGUGCAUACUCGCAUAAUAAGCAGCCCAAGGAAGCUUUCGCUCUCUAUGCUAAGAUGUGUAGAGCAGGGAUGAAGCCAGAUUAUAUCACCUUUGCAACACUAUUAUCUGGUUGUGAUGACACAUCAACUGCAAAAGAAGCACUUCAGAUUCAUGCCCAUAUCAUUAAGUUGGGGUUCAAUUCAAUCUCCAUGGUUGGCAAUAGCUUGAUGGAUUCUUACUGCAAAUGCCAACGCCUUGAUCUAGCCCUUCAACUCUUCAAUGAAAUCACAGCAAAAGAUUCAGUGAGCUUCAAUGCAAUGAUAACAGGAUACUCAAAACAUGGUUCAAAUGAAGAAGCACUAAAGCUAUUUCAAGAAAUGCAACAUUUGGGUCUGAAGCCUUCAGAUUUCACUUUUGCAGCAGUGCUAGGUGCUGUUGUUGGAUUAGAUGAUGCUGCAUUUGGGAAACAACUUCAUGGACUUGCCAUCAAGACCAGCUAUGUUUGGAAUGUAUUUGUAGGCAAUGCUUUGCUCGAUUUUUACUCUAAACAUGACAAUUUAGAUGAUGCAAAUAAACUCUUUGGUGAAAUGCCCGAGUUGGAUGGAGUUUCAUACAAUAUUAUAAUUACAGGAUUUGCAUGGGGUGGUCAGUAUGAAAAAUCGUUCACUCUCUUCCGUAAAUUAAAUAGCACUACAUUUGACAGAAGACAGUUCCCUUUUGCAACUAUGCUGAGCAUUGCUGCAACUACUCAGAAUUUAGAAAUGGGAAGGCAAAUCCACGCACAAGGAAUAGUGACAAAAGCAGAUUCAGAGGUACAAGUGGGGAAUGCUCUAGUUGACAUGUACGCGAAAUGUGACAGAUUAGAGGAAACAAAUGCCAUUUUUGCAAAUCUGGCUCACAGUUCUGUUUCAUGGACAGCCAUAAUCUCGGUAUAUGUCCAAAAGGGUCUUUUCGAGGAAGCCCUGAAAGUGUUCAAGGAGAUGUCUAGAGAAAAUGUUCAUGGUGACCAGGCCACUUUUGCAAGUCUACUAAAAGCUUCAGCAAACUUGGCUUCAGUUGCACUAGGGAGGCAGUUACACUCAUAUGUCAUCAGAUUAGGAUUGAUGUCAAAUGUUUUCUCGGGUAGUGCACUUCUGGACAUGUAUGCAAAAUGCGGGUCUAUAAAAGAUGCAAAAAAGAUUUUCAAAGAAAUGCCCGAUAGAAAUAUAGUCUCCUGGAAUGCAAUGUUCUCAGCACAUGCUCAAAACGGUGAUGGCGAAGCUACCCUGAGGUCCUUCGGGGAGAUGAUCGAAUCAGGUCUUCAUCCCGAUUCUGUUAGUUUUCUCUGUGUCUUAACUGCCUGCAGUCACCAUGGGCUCAUCGAAGCUGCACAAGAGUAUUUCAGUUCCAUGACUCAAGUAUACAAUUUGGACCCAAAGAGAGAACACUAUACCACCAUGGUCGAUGUUCUGUGCAGAAAGGGAAGAUUUUACGAGGCAGAAAAAUUAAUUACUGAAAUGCCGUAUGAGCCAGAUGAGAUCCUGUGGUCAUCGGUUUUGAACUCAUGCAGAAUUCAUAAGAAUCAGGAGCUCGCUCAAAAAGUCGCCGAGCAACUAUUCAAGAUGGACAUAUUAAGAGACGCUGCUGCUUAUGUCAAUAUGUCUAACAUCUAUGCAGAGGCUGGCCAAUGGAACAACGUAGCAUCGGUGAAAAAGGCUAUGAGGGAAAGGGGAAUUAAGAAAGUAGCAGCAAUUAGCUGGGUUGAAAUUGGCCAUAUAGUUCAUAAAUUUACUGCAAAUGAUAGGGCCCACCCACAGAUUGAGGCGAUUAGAAGGAAAAUUGAUUCAUUGGGGAAGCGGAUGGAAAAGGAAGGGUACAAGCCAGACACGAGUUGUGCCAUACACGAUGUAGAUGAAGAUAUUAAAGUAGAAUCACUUAAAUAUCACAGUGAAAGAUUAGCUAUUGCUUUUGCUUUGAUUAGUACUCCAGAAGGGUCACCUAUUGUAGUGAUGAAAAACUUGCGGGCUUGUAUAGACUGUCAUGCUGCCAUCAAAAUAAUUUCGAGAAUUGUUGGGAGGGAGAUUAUUGUUCGAGAUUCAAGUAGAUUCCAUCGUUUUAGAGAUGGAUCAUGUUCAUGUGGAGACUACUGGUGACUUAAUUGGUAAACGAGUGAAUCCUUCAUUUGCUUGGAGCUGUUAGAUUAUGCUAUCCAUGAGGCUGUGAUACCUUUGCAACUCUAAAACGUCGAUUACAUUUGUACAAUCUCUGCCUGUCCCUUGGAAAUGAUUGGCGAAACUGAAAUGAUAGUUUGUUACUCUGCUCCAGAGGCAUCAAUGUUGCAGAAGGCGCUAGUCGGACGCUCGGGGCCCUCUUUGAGCUGCCAAGCAAUCAGUUUCAAGGCCCAACGUCUUGCCCCCUUCAUCCAUGAAAGAGCCUCCUUACAAGCAAUCACUACCGCGCAAGAGCCAGAUCAAGAGGAGCAUGAACCACUCCAUGUGAGGCCGCCAUGAAGUUACCAGAUGAGUCCCACAUGACCAGUAUCAGGAAAUAAACCGCGCGGGAGAGAUGUUUGUUGUCCGCACGAGCUUAGCUCAAUAGUUCAGUAGACAGUAUUUGGAAGAAAAAGAAACAUAAAGAAAAAAUAGCCCUUUUGUUCCGGUCAAUA